rnacentral:rRNA from 1 species
GGUGUCAGGUAUUUCUGCUGUAAGUGUGGUACCCUCUUACGUGUUACAAGUUGACAUAGUAAGUGUCUCGGGUACCUCUGUCGAGGGGAAAGAAGUGUAUUAGGGCUAAUAUCCCUGAUACUUGACGGUACCCCUAAAGGAAGCACCGGCUAACUCCGUGCCAGCAGCCGCGGUAAUACGGGGGGUGCAAGCGUUGUUCGGAAUUAUUGGGCGUAAAGCGCGUGUAGGCGGUUUGAUUAGUCUGAUGUGAAAGCCCUGGGCUCAACCCAGGAAGUGCAUUGGAAACUGUCAGACUUGAAUACGGGAGAGGGUAGUGGAAUUCCUAGUGUAGGAGUGAAAUCCGUAGAUAUUAGGAGGAACACCGGUGGCGAAGGCGGCUACCUGGACCGAUAUUGACGCUGAGACGCGAAAGCGUGGGUAGCAAACAGGAUUAGAUACCCUGGUAGUCCACGCCGUAAACGAU